rnacentral:rRNA from 1 species
GACAGAGGUGCCAAGCGUUAGGCGGAAUCACUGGGCUUAAAGCGUGUGUAGGCGGAUGCCUAAGUACCUUGGUGAAAUCCCCCGGCUCAACCGGGGAACGGCUGGGUAUACUGGGUGUCUUGGGUCAUCUAGGGGCUGCCGGAACAAAUGGUGGAGCGGUGAAAUGCGUAGAUAUCAUUUGGAACGCCAACGGCGAAAGCAGGCAGCUGGGGAUGCACCGACGCUGAGACACGAAAGCCAGGGGAGCGAACGGG